rnacentral:rRNA from 1 species
AGCUCCAAUAGCGUAUAUUAAAGUUGUUGCGGUUAAAAAGCUCGUAGUUGGAUUUCUGCCGAGGACGACCUGUCCACCCACUGGGUGCGCACGAGGUUCGGUUUUGGCAUAAUCUUGGAGAACGCCGCUGCGAUUCAUUUUGUGGGGUGGUAUCCAAGACCUUUACUUUGAGGAAAUUAGAGUGUUUCAAGCAGGCAUACGCCUUGAAUACAUUAGCAUGGAAUAAUAAGAUAGGACCUUGGCUCUAUUUUGUUGGUUUCUAGGGCUGAGGUAAUGAUUAAUAGGGAUAGUUGGGGGCAUUCGUAUUUAACUGUCAGAGGUGAAAUUCUUGGAUUUGUUAAAGACGGACGACUGCGAAAGCAUUUGCCAAGGAUGUUUUCAUUGAUCAAGAACGAAAGUA